rnacentral:snoRNA from 1 species
CGGCUGACACUCACCACGGCGCAGUCACUAGAGUGCUGCGCUGCGGUCUUUCUUCAGCUGAUAGCAUCGAGCUUCUUUAAAGGCAGGGCCGCGGCCAGCGUGGGUGGCCGCAGCACCGUUCCAAUAGCGCAACAGCC